UCACCAGAAUAUUCAUUAGAAACAACAAUAGCUGCUACUUGUGUGGAUGAACUAGAAACAUUGAAGAAUCUAUUUUUUACUAAUACAAAACAGCAUCUCACAGAUGAUCACAUAUGGCUAUCUGUUUUCAUUAGACCUCAGACAAGCAGGUUUAGUCGAGUUGAAAGAGCAAUGUGCUGUUUUGUAUUUCUUAUGCUAGCCAUGAUAACCAGUGCUAUGUUUUAUACUGGAGUUCCAGAUGCUAGCAGAAAACAGCCAAAAGUAGAUUUUGAAAUAGGACCAUUAAGAAUUGGAUACCAGCAGAUGUACAAUUCUUUUCUCUCUGCUUUGAUUACGGCCAUUCCAAUGGUAAUAAUUAUGACCAUAUUUAGAAAAUCUAGAACUAAAGGAGAUCCAUAUGUUGGGUGUUGUAGGAGUACUAACAAAUUUACAGACAGCAAGCACA
rnacentral:sRNA from 1 species